UACGUAGGGUGCAAGCGUUAAUCGGAAUUACUGGGCGGAAAGCGUGCGCAGGCGGUUUUGGAAGUCUGUCGUGAAAUCCCCGGGCUUAACCUGGGAAUGGCGAUGGAGACUGCAAGGCUAGAAUCUGGCAGAGGGGGGUAGAAUUCCACGUGUAGCGGUGAAAUGCGUAGAGAUGUGGAGGAACACCGAUGGCGAAGGCAGCCCCCUGGGUCAAGAUUGACGCUCAUGCACGAAAGCGUGGGGAGCAAACAGG
rnacentral:rRNA from 1 species